rnacentral:rRNA from 1 species
UCCAGACUCCUACGGGAGGCAGCAGUGGGGGAUAUUGCACAAUGGGGGGAACCCUGAUGCAGCGACGCCGCGUGGGUGAAGGAGCGUUUCGGCGCGUAAAGCCCUAUCGGCAGGGAAGAAGGAGGACGGUACCUGACUAAGGAGCCCCGGCUAACUACGUGCCAGCAGCCGCGGUAAUACGUAGGGGGCAAGCGUUAUCCGGAUUUACUGGGUGUAAAGGGGGCGCAGACGGCAGCGCAAGCCAGGAGUGAAAGCCCGGGGCCCAACCCCGGGACUGCUCUUGGAACUGCGCGGCUGGAGUGCAGGAGGGGCAGGCGGAAUUCCUGGUGUAGCGGUGAAAUGCGUAGAUAUCAGGAGGAACACCGGUGGCGAAGGCGGCCUGCUGGACUGCGACUGACGUUGAGGCCCGAAAGCGUGGGGAGCAAACAGGAUUAGAUACCCCAGUA